AGUGACUUUAUGUUUAACGGCCGCGGUACUCUGACCGUGCAAAGGUAGCGUAAUCACUUGUCUUUUAAAUAAGGACUAGUAUGAAUGGCAUCACGAGGACUUAGCUGUCUCCCUCAUCUAAUCAGUGAAACUGAUCUCCCUGUGAAAAAGCAGGGAUUUACACAUAAGACGAGAAGACCCUAUGGAGCUUUAAACCAAAAACUACCUGUUUAAUUUACUAUACUAAAGAUAGUACUAAAACAACUGAUCUAGUUUAGGUUUUCAGUUGGGGUGACUGUGGAGAAAAAUAAAUCCUCCAUGCAGAAUUAAGCUUUGAACAACCGCUCUACGCAUUAGCAAGUCUAACUGCACUUGAUCCAAUCUUUUUGAUCAACGGACCAAGUUACCCUAGGGAUAACAGCGCAAUCCAUUUUAAGAGUCCAUAUCGACAAAUGGGUUUACGACCUCGAUGUUGGAUUAGGACACCCGAGUGGUGCAGCCGCUACUCAAGGUUCGUUUGUUC
rnacentral:rRNA from 1 species